GAUGAACGCUGGCGGCGUGCCUAAUACAUGCAAGUCGAGCGAACAGACGAGGAGCUUGCUCCUCUGACGUUAGCGGCGGACGGGUGAGUAACACGUGGAUAACCUACCUAUAAGACUGGGAUCACUUCGGGAAACCGGAGCUAAUACCGGAUAAUAUAUUGAACCGCAUGGUUCAAUAGUGAAAGACGGUUUUGCUGUCACUUAUAGAUGGAUCCGCGCCGCAUUAGCUAGUUGGUAAGUUAACGGCUUACCAAGGCAACGAUGCGUAGCCGACCUGAGAGGGUGAUCGGCCACACUGGAACUGAGACACGGUCCAGACUCCUACGGGAGGCAGCAGUAGGGAAUCUUCCGCAAUGGGCGAAAGCCUGACGGAGCAACGCCGCGUGAGUGAUGAAGGUCUUCGGAUCGUAAAACUCUGUUAUUAGGGAAGAACAAAUGUGUAAGUAACUAUGCACGUCUUGACGGUACCUAAUCAGAAAGCCACGGCUAACUACGUG
rnacentral:rRNA from 1 species